ensembl:lncRNA
AUUCUCUAUUCCCUAGUACAGGUUGAACAUUCUCUAUUCCCUAGUACAGGUUGAACAUUCUCUAUUCCCUAGUAUAGGUUGAACAUUCUCUAUUCCCUAGUAUAGGUUGAACAUUCUCCAUUCCAAGAACAUUAACAUUAAGGUCAACCUGUAGUACUGGCAGGUUAUUUAAAGGAACCACGUGCAAUUAAAAACAUACAUUUCAGACAGUGAAAUAUGAUGCGUGCACCCGAGUUAGCUAAGAGCAGCUACUUUUCAUCAUCAGCCCCUCAUUUUCAAUCUGACCCUCAACACACUCCCAUCUGAGAGUGUGUGCGCCAAUCGGGAAAAAGCAGAGCAGAGAACAUUAUUGACGGUAGUCAACAAACCUCUUGGACUGAACCUCCCCCCCACACACACACACAGAUAGGAGUGGGAGUCUAUUGAGAAUCAGGUUGUCCUUUAUGUUCCUUCCAAGAGCUGGAGGUCUGCGAUCAUGUCUCCACUGAACAACAACAUCAAGGACAACCUGACCCUCGAC